CCCCUGUUUGAAUAGAGCGAAAGCAGUGAAGCCAGACAGUUUGCUGAAGAACACAUGGGUGACUUGUACCUU